UAAUACGGAGGGUGCAAGCGUUAUCCGGAUUUACUGGGUUUAAAGGGUGCGUAGGUGGGCAAUUAAGUCAGCGGUGAAAUCUCCGGGCUUAACCCGGAAAUUGCCAUUGAUACUAUUUGUCUUGAAUUAUCUGGAGGUGAGCGGAAUAUGUCAUGUAGCGGUGAAAUGCUUAGAUAUGACAUAGAACACCAAUUGCGAAGGCAGCUCACUACGGAUACAUUGACACUGAGGCACGAAAGCGUGGGGAUCAAACAGGAUUAGAUACCCUGGUAGUCCACGCCCUAAACGAUGGAUACUCGACAUCAGCGAUACACUGUUGGUGUCUGAGCGAAAGCAUUAAGUAUCCCACCUGGGAAGUACGACCGCAAGGUUG
rnacentral:rRNA from 1 species